CCCUGUAUCGAAAGUGGCCGUGGCGUCCGCGUCGCCUCGGUCAUUGAUAGUACAGGGAGACCAAGCGUGCGAGCCUUUCCCGUGUCUGCAGGACCAUCAGUUCCUGACGGACCCUGGCGCUCGCAUACA
ensembl:snoRNA SNORA71 Small nucleolar RNA SNORA71